CUGGUUCUCAUCAGAAAUCAUGCAUACUAGAAAGUAGUGAGAUGACAUAUUAAAAGUGCUAAAAGAAAAAAACUGCCAACUAAGAAUUCUAUGUCCAGCAAAACUAUCUUUCAAAAUUGAAGUUAAGACAUUCCUUGAUAAAGCUGUGAGGGUUAGUAGCUAGCACUAAAUGCAAUAUUAAAGGAAAAAAUUUUUUAAAUAAAUAUUAAAGGGAUUCUUUUGAGUUGAGAAUAAAGGACACCAAAGAGUAACAAAUUCUCAUGAAGAACUACAAGUGAAAAAAAUCUGUAAAGGAUGGAGCCACUGCCCUCUUUCUAGCCACUCAAGGAGGUUACUUGGAUGUCAUCCGAUUAUUGUUGUCUUCAGGAGCAAAAGUCAACCAACCAAAGCAGGGAUCAAACUCAGGACCUUGCGCUUUCGAGGCAGGUGCCGGAACC
ensembl:lncRNA